GGGAGGACCUGAUUUUUCUUCACCCAUAGUUAGGGAGGCGCAAUCGCCCUGGCUUUGGGGCUGGGGCCUCCGGGGAGGUUCCGGUAGGGGCGUUGGAGAGGCCGCUCUUUUUGCAAGGCCCGAGACGGCGGGCCCUGCGCAGGCCGCCCUAUUCCGCGCCCUCAGGGCGUCAGUAUCCGCCUGAGGCCGGAUACCCCAGCUGGGCCCGGAUGCCGUCGAUGGGCCCGGAGCAUCCUCGGCGCUGCCCUCCCAGAGCCCCGCAGAGGCUGAGGUGGCGCGGGGGGCGGGCCCGGCUCCGCGAGAAGCAGCGGCAGCGAGGGCUGGAGGACCCGGGCUACGGGGCUCUGGGGCGUCUGGCCUGGGUGGGACUGAGCCCAUUCGGGGGGACUCCGGGGUUCUGGUGUAGGUAGAUCCGGGGCAGGCUCAGGACCAAGUCCCUCUCCUUCCACCAAGGAGCGCCCAGAGGCCGGCGGGAGCUCCAGGUUCACCUCCUCCUCCUCCAGGAAAUCCCACUUCCAACUGGAUGUCUGGAUGAACUACUGAAAGCUGCUGAGUGUCCUGCAGCAGGGUCGGUGGACCUGGGUGUCUGUCUGGACACAUCCUCCAGUGGCCUGGACCUGCCCAUGAAGGUGGUGGACAUGUUCAGGAGCUGUUUGCCUGCGUGUGCUGUGAACUUCAAGUGAGCCAAGAGCUGGUUAGAGCUGCAAGGACACCGCCUGCACAGGAUGCCCGGGGCUGGGCAUUACCUGCUGCAAUGACAACAUCUGGCUGGAUGGCAGAGAGCUGACAGACCGUCGCGACGUCCCAGUCCAGCUGGGCCACUGUCACCCUGGGGCUGUCUAAGUUGGCAGUGAUAUCUGCACCUAAUGAGAGGCCAUUGAGAAGGACAUUCCCUCAGAGCUGCUAGAGGACCCAGCUGUGACAGUCCCUGAAGAUGUAUGCCCGGGGGUGGCACAUCUUGCAGAUGGCCAGGCCUGUGAGGCCAGCACCACUGCCAAGCUCUAGGACAGUCCUGGUGGGAGGAAAGGGGGUCAUGUCUGCGACUGCACCAGGGUAAGCCUGCCUCGGUGCCCUGCCCUGUGCCCUGAGGUCACCUAUCAGUGAAGGCUGCUGGGUUCUCGAUGGCCCAUUCUGCAAGGUAGAGGGCGGCAUCCCAUGUGACCAGGACUGUGAUGCCGUGGGAGAUGAUGGCUGUGCUCUUGGAGAGUGUGACUGAGCCUCCCGAGGGCAGCACCAAGAGAAGGCGAGAGAGUCAGUCCAGCGAUCAGAAGGCAAGUGGCUUAGAAGACAAGCAGCCAUCCACCACAUGGCUGAAUAAACCAUGACAGGACAAAUCGCCACUCAGCAAUGAGAAGCAGCUAACUGUUGACAUGCCAACAGCUUGCACAGGCCUCAAGGGUGUCACGUGGCAUGAAAGACACUCAUCUCAGGCCACACAGGAUUCCAUUCAUUGAACAUUCCUGAGACAAUGGAAUUCUGGCGAUGGAGCACAGGUCAGUUGUGGCCAGGGGCCGGGUGUGGCUAUGAAGGGGUGGCUGCCUUGUGAUGAUUCAAUAUGCUAUGUUUUUCCUUUG
rnacentral:lncRNA from 1 species